rnacentral:lncRNA from 1 species
AUCUCGAUUUUUUUCUAAAGAAAAAACUAAAAAUAUGGUCAAAGGUCAUGAAGCAGUAAAACUAGAAGGGGGAAAGCCCCCACUUCCUUCACAAGGACAGAGCCUACUGCUGCUUUAUGCCAAGUUUUGUUUCUACAGUAAUUUCUUUUGUAUGUGUGUGUGUGAUGGAGUUUUUGCUCUUGUUGCCCAGGCUGGGAAAGAAAACAGAAUGAGGCGGGUAUCAGCUUUGGAAUGGAAGUAGCCCUGGAUUUCACCCCACCUCUGCCACUGAGCAGCUAUGAGUCAUAUAAGUCCUCUUUGUUUCUCCAUCUACAAAAUAAAGAGGACAAUAACUACUUUUGGGAGUGAUUUUG